GCAGGGUAUAGACCCGAAACCCGGUGAUCUAGCCAUGGGCAGGUUGAAGGUUGGGUAACACUAACUGGAGGACCGAACCGACUAAUGUUGAAAAAUUAGCGGAUGACCUGUGGCUGGGGGUGAAAGGCCAAUCAAACCGGGAGAUAGCUGGUUCUCCCCGAAAGCUAUUUAGGUAGCGCCUCGUGAAUUCAUCUCCGGGGGUAGAGCACUGUUUCGGCUAGGGGGCCAUCCCGGCUUACCAACCCGAUGCAAACUGCGAAUACCGGAGAAUGUUAUCACGGGAGACACACGGCGGGUGCUAACGUCCGUCGUGAAGAGGGAAACAACCCAGACCGCCAGCUAAGGUCCCAAAGUCAUGGUUAAGUGGGAAACGAUGUGGGAAGGCCCAGACAGCCAGGAUGUUGGCUUAGAAGCAGCCAUCAUUUAAAGAAAGCGUAAUAGCUCACUGGUCGAGUCGGCCUGCGCGGAAGAUGUAACGGGGCUAAACCAUGCACCGAAGCUGCGGCAGCGAACGUAUCACCCAAGACAACUUUACGGAGUUGACGAUUGACGGAGCGAAGCGACGUCAAAGCGUUCAUUAAAGUCGAGUUGGCUUAGGGAUACGUUCGUUGGGUAGGGGAGCGUUCUGUAAGCCUGUGAAGGUGUGUCGUGAGGCAUGCUGGAGGUAUCAGAAGUGCGAAUGCUGACAUAAGUAACGAUAAAGCGGGUGAAAAGCCCGCUCGCCGGAAGACCAAGGGUUCCUGUCCAACGUUAAUCGGGGCAGGGUGAGUCGACCCCUAAGGCGAGGCCGAAAGGCGUAGUCGAUGGGAAACGGGUUAAUAUUCCCGUACUUGGUGUUACUGCGAAGGGGGGACGGAGAAGGCUAUGUUGGCCGGGCGACGGUUGUCCCGGUUUAAGCGUGUAGGUGUGUGUUCCAGGUAAAUCCGGUUCACUUUAACACUGAGGCGUGACGACGAGGCACUACGGUGCUGAAGCAACAAAUGCCCUGCUUCCAGGAAAAGCCUCUAAGCAUCAGGUAACAUCAAAUCGUACCCCAAACCGACACAGGUGGUCAGGUAGAGAAUACCAAGGCGCUUGAGAGAACUCGGGUGAAGGAACUAGGCAAAAUGGUGCCGUAACUUCGGGAGAAGGCACGCUGACACGUAGGUGAAGUGAUUUACUCAUGGAGCUGAAGUCAGUCGAAGAUACCAGCUGGCUGCAACUGUUUAUUAAAAACACAGCACUGUGCAAACACGAAAGUGGACGUAUACGGUGUGACGCCUGCCCGGUGCCGGAAGGUUAAUUGAUGGGGUCAGCGCAAGCGAAGCUCCUGAUCGAAGCCCCGGUAAACGGCGGCCGUAACUAUAACGGUCCUAAGGUAGCGAAAUUCCUUGUCGGGUAAGUUCCGACCUGCACGAAUGGCGUAAUGAUGGCCAGGCUGUCUCCACCCGAGACUCAGUGAAAUUGAACUCGCUGUGAAGAUGCAGUGUACCCGCGGCAAGACGGAAAGACCCCGUGAACCUUUACUAUAGCUUGACACUGAACAUUGAGCCUUGAUGUGUAGGAUAGGUGGGAGGCUUUGAAGUGUGGACGCCAGUCUGCAUGGAGCCGACCUUGAAAUACCACCCUUUAAUGUUUGAUGUUCUAACGUGGACCCGUAAUCCGGGUUGCGGACAGUGUCUGGUGGGUAGUUUGACUGGGGCGGUCUCCUCCUAAAGAGUAACGGAGGAGCACGAAGGUUGGCUAAUCCUGGUCGGACAUCAGGAGGUUAGUGCAAUGGCAUAAGCCAGCUUGACUGCGAGCGUGACGGCGCGAGCAGGUGCGAAAGCAGGUCAUAGUGAUCCGGUGGUUCUGAAUGGAAGGGCCAUCGCUCAACGGAUAAAAGGUACUCCGGGGAUAACAGGCUGAUACCGCCCAAGAGUUCAUAUCGACGGCGGUGUUUGGCACCUCGAUGUCGGCUCAUCACAUCCUGGGGCUGAAGUAGGUCCCAAGGGUAUGGCUGUUCGCCAUUUAAAGUGGUACGCGAGCUGGGUUUAGAACGUCGUGAGACAGUUCGGUCCCUAUCUGCCGUGGGCGCUGGAGAACUGAGGGGGGCUGCUCCUAGUACGAGAGGACCGGAGUGGACGCAUCACUGGUGUUCGGGUUGUCAUGCCAAUGGCACUGCCCGGUAGCUAAAUGCGGAAGAGAUAAGUGCUGAAAGCAUCUAAGCACGAAACUUGCCCCGAGAUGAGUUCUCCCUGAGACUUAGAGUCUCCUGAAGGAACGUUGAAGACGACGACGUUGAUAGGCCGGGUGUGUAAGCGCAGCGAUGCGUUGAGCUAACCGGUACUAAUGAACCGUGAGGCUUAACCUUACA
rnacentral:rRNA from 1 species